rnacentral:lncRNA from 1 species
GCCUACCCAGAAAGUCCAGAGGAAGCCUGCUUGAGAGAACUAUUCUGAAAACAGCGUGGGCAGCCUUCUGCCCUCUCCAACUCUGAGGAAGGUAGCUCAGAGAUUUUAAGAACCCUGAGCAGCAACUGGGUGGCCACAACAGAAACAGGAACUACCUGGGUGACGUCCACAGUGGGCACCUCGCCCAGAGCGUGAAGGGCAGUGCAGCAGCUGGACGAAGAGAGAAGAGGAGGAACGGAGCCCAGCAGAGCUGAGCAGAGCUGAGCCCAGCCAGAUCCAGCCAUGUGCUUCGUGUUGGCAACAAACCGGCUCUUUGGAGAGAGGAGGAGUCUGACAAAAAGGACAGCUGCAGCACAGCACAAGCAGAGAGGCAAUAUGCUUGAGAAAGCCCUGAGAUUGGGGUUAUCCCCAUAAGUUAAAACAAAAAACAAACCACCUUUGGGGUUUGCAGAACUACUUAGUCUAUUAACACCCCCUCCCCUCAUUGCGGGAUCAAUUAAACAGUCUGUCCACAUCUGGUUUCCAUCU